GUUUACGGGGUCGGAUCUAAACAUGGCCUAUGUGUGAUCGUGAAGACAUUUACAAUCCAGUUGUCCUACCACAUAAUGGACAUGUACGACAAUGCAAUAUUUUAACAUCAACAACAAUGGGUACAUGGAGCAACUGAGGGAUUGAUGGCCUUUGGUUUGUUCCUUAGGACUUGAAUGUAUUCAGUAUUUGUGUAACUGUAGUAUCACGUACUUUGUAAUAAUCAAGACUAUCCUGUGGAACUACUUUGUAAUAUAUAAUCAUCACUAUCCUGUGGAACGGAAUUGGAAAUCCCUAAGGGCUAGUUUGGAAGCCCGUAAUCCCGCCGGGAACCCGGCCUUUUCCCUGGGCUGGAAGCCCACGUGGAAAUCGGCCACGAGCCAAAUCAUCUCGCCAUUUGGAAGCCCACGGAAAGGGUAUAUCUGACCCUAUCCACCAAUUUUCCACGGGGCAACCCUCCCGACCUCCGGAGGCCGGGCGUCGCUUCCCCGUCGCUCGCACGCGUCGCGAGGAAAAGCGGCGCCUCCCUCCGCCUCCGCCGUCGCCGCCACCCCUCUACCACCAGGCGCCGCCGCCCCUCCGCGUCCGGGCGCCGCCCCCCUCUGCCCUCCCAUCGCUUGCUCUACCUCCGCCGCCCCUCCGCCGCUCGUCUCCCCGUCGGCUGCAACGCCACCACCCCCUCGGAGAACUCGAUCUACAGUAGCGCCUCCUCCAGCUCGGCCGGCUCCACAUCAUAUUCUUCUUAGGCACAUAGAUUCCUACUGUGCUGCCCUGGUCAACCCGACUAAACAUUGCAGUAGACGCCGCGAAGGGUUUAGCAUUCCUCGACGCAGACAAGACGGUGAUCGACCUUGCUUUGGCCAUGGUGGCGGCAGUGCUUUUGGUGCUGGGGCCUGGGGCAUGUUCCAUGGAGUGAUAAUUCAGUUAGCCAGCACAUUGAUUUGAUGCUCGCUGAAAUGAGAGGUUUCAAGUUUCUUGUCACUGAUGGGGAAUCCUAGAUACUUCAUUGGGAAUUUACCAAGCCUGCAGUUCAGCAUGUUGGCAAUUUGUUGCCUCUCAGCAGAUACAUCAAAUUUUUACCUUUCCUGUGGUAAUGGGGGUGUGAAGAAACAAAAUGUCAAGUACUUCACGAACUGAUCACAACGUAGAAUGCUCAUAUUUUGCUAGAUUUUGGAUGUAAAGAUGGAGAAUUAUGAUUGUCUGAUUUCAUAAUAAAAUAUCUAUUUGUUGAAGAGACAUUUUUUUAAUCUUU